AGAGUUUGAUCAUGGCUCAGAUUGAACGCUGGCGGCAGGCCUAACACAUGCAAGUCGAACGGUAACAGGAAGCAGCUUGCUGCUUUGCUGACGAGUGGCGGACGGGUGAGUAAUGUCUGGGAAACUGCCUGAUGGAGGGGGAUAACUACUGGAAACGGUGGCUAAUACCGCAUAACGUCGCAAGACCAAAGAGGGGGACCUUCGGGCCUCUUGCCAUCAGAUGUGCCCAGAUGGGAUUAGCUUGUUGGUGAGGUAACGGCUCACCAAGGCGACGAUCCCUAGCUGGUCUGAGAGGAUGACCAGCCACACUGGAACUGAGACACGGUCCAGACUCCUACGGGAGGCAGCAGUGGGGAAUAUUGCACAAUGGGCGCAAGCCUGAUGCAGCCAUGCCGCGUGUAUGAAGAAGGCCUUCGGGUUGUAAAGUACUUUCAGCGGGGAGGAAGGUGUUGUGGUUAAUAACCGCAGCAAUUGACGUUACCCGCAGAAGAAGCACCGGCUAACUCCGUGCCAGCAGCCGCGGUAAUACGGAGGGUGCAAGCGUUAAUCGGAAUUACUGGGCGUAAAGCGCACGCAGGCGGUCUGUCAAGUCGGAUGUGAAAUCCCCGGGCUCAACCUGGGAACUGCAUUCGAAACUGGCAGGCUUGAGUCUUGUAGAGGGGGGUAGAAUUCCAGGUGUAGCGGUGAAAUGCGUAGAGAUCUGGAGGAAUACCGGUGGCGAAGGCGGCCCCCUGGACAAAGACUGACGCUCAGGUGCGAAAGCGUGGGGAGCAAACAGGAUUAGAUACCCUGGUAGUCCACGCCGUAAACGAUGUCUACUUGGAGGUUGUGCCCUUGAGGCGUGGCUUCCGGAGCUAACGCGUUAAGUAGACCGCCUGGGGAGUACGGCCGCAAGGUUAAAACUCAAAUGAAUUGACGGGGGCCCGCACAAGCGGUGGAGCAUGUGGUUUAAUUCGAUGCAACGCGAAGAACCUUACCUGGUCUUGACAUCCACGGAAGUUUUCAGAGAUGAGAAUGUGCCUUCGGGAACCGUGAGACAGGUGCUGCAUGGCUGUCGUCAGCUCGUGUUGUGAAAUGUUGGGUUAAGUCCCGCAACGAGCGCAACCCUUAUCCUUUGUUGCCAGCGGUCCGGCCGGGAACUCAAAGGAGACUGCCAGUGAUAAACUGGAGGAAGGUGGGGAUGACGUCAAGUCAUCAUGGCCCUUACGACCAGGGCUACACACGUGCUACAAUGGCGCAUACAAAGAGAAGCGACCUCGCGAGAGCAAGCGGACCUCAUAAAGUGCGUCGUAGUCCGGAUUGGAGUCUGCAACUCGACUCCAUGAAGUCGG
rnacentral:rRNA from 1 species